rnacentral:rRNA from 1 species
AAUCAUUUGUUUUUUAAUUAAAAACUWGAAUGAAAGGUUAUACAUUCAAAUUUCUUUAUUAAUUUUUUAUAAAUAAUUUAUAUUAAAUAUAAAAAUAUAUUUUUAAAUAAAAAAGACGACAAGACCCUAUUAAAUUUAACUUAUAGUUUAGCUGGGGAAGCUUUUUAAAUAAAAUUUUUAUAUAAUUUUUAAAAAUAUAUUUAAUAAAAUUAAAAAUAAAACAAAUUACUAUAGGGAUAACAGCGUUAUAUUUUUUAAAAGUUCUUAUUUAAAAAAAUGAUUGCGACCUCGAUGUUGAAUUAUAUUUUCUAUAUUAAUGCAAUAAUUAUAAAAGUAGAUCUGUUCGAUCUUUAAAAUAUUACAUGAUUUGAGUUCAAACCGGUGUAAACCAGGUUGGUUUCUAUCUUUUUAUAUAUAUAUAUAUUUUUUUAAGUACGAAAGGAAAAAAAAAAAUUUAUUUUAAUUAUUUAGCAAAUUAAUAUGCAUUAGAUUUAGAAUCUAAAUAAAAUAUUAUUUUUUAAUUAAUUCUUUUAUAUCUAUUAUUAUACUUUUAAUUUCAGUUGCAUUUUAUACAAUUUUAGAACGAAAAAUUUUAAGAUACAUUCAAAUUCGAAAAGGUCCAAAUAAAGUAGGUUUUAUAGGAAUUUUACAACCAUUUAGUGAUGCUAUUAAAUUAUUUAAUAAAAAUUUAAUUUCACUUGAAAGAAUAAAUUUUAUAUUAUCAUAUUCAACUCCAGCAUUAUCUUUAAUUUUAAUAAUAAUAAUUACUUCUAUAUUACCUAUAUAUAUUUAUUCUACAUUUGAUAAUAAAAAUAAUAUUUUAAUAUUUUUUGUAAUUUCAAGAUUAGCAGUUUAUUCCAUUUUAUCAUG